UUGGAGUGCACGUCCAAGCAGUGAGAUUGAGUGUUAGGCAAAUCCGGCACUCUCAAGAUUGAGCUGUGAUGGGGAGAGGAACUUGUUCCUCGAGUCGUUGAUUUCACACUGCCGAGAAAAGCCUCUAGCUAGAAUAACGGUGCCCGUACCGCAAACCGACACAGGUAGUCAAGAUGAGAAUUCUAAGGUGAGCGAGCGAACUCUCGUUAAGGAACUCGGCAAAAUGACCCCGUAACUUCGGGAGAAGGGGUGCUCUUUGAGGUUCACGCUUCGAAGAGCCGCAGUGAAUAGGCCCAAGCGACUGUUUAUCAAAAACACAGGUCUCUGCUAAACCGUAAGGUGACGUAUAGGGGCUGACGCCUGCCCGGUGCUGGAAGGUUAAGAGGAGUGGUUAGCGCAAGCGAAGCUACGAAUCGAAGCCCCAGUAAACGGCGGCCGUAACUAUAACGGUCCUAAGGUAGCGAAAUUCCUUGUCGGGUAAGUUCCGACCCGCACGAAAGGCGUAACGAUUUGGGCACUGUCUCAACGAGAGACUCGGUGAAAUCAUAGUACCGGUGAAGAUGCCGGUUACCCGCGACAGGACGGAAAGACCCCGUGGAGCUUUACUGUAGCCUGAUAUUGAAAUUCGGUACAGUUUGUACAGGAUAGGUAGGAGCCUUAGAAGCGUGAGCGCUAGCUUACGUGGAGGCAUUGGUGGGAUACUACCCUAAUUGUAUUGGAUUUCUAACCCGCAGCACUUAUCGUGCUGGGAGACAGUGUCAGGCGGGCAGUUUGACUGGGGCGGUCGCCUCCUAAAGAGUAACGGAGGCGCUCAAAGGUUCCCUCAGAAUGGUUGGAAAUCAUUCAUAGAGUGUAA
rnacentral:rRNA from 1 species